rnacentral:rRNA from 2 species
UGGAGCAUGUGGUUUAAUUCGACGCAACGCGAAGAACCUUACCAGGGCUUGACAUGCCGCUGACCGGUUUAGAGAUAGAUCUUUACCCUUCGGGGUACAGCGGACACAGGUGGUGCAUGGUUGUCGUCAGCUCGUGUCGUGAGAUGUUGGGUUAAGUCCCGCAACGAGCGCAACCCUUGUCUUUAGUUGCCAUCAUUAAGUUGGGCACUCUAAAGAGACUGCCGAUGACAAAUCGGAGGAAGGUGGGGAUGACGUCAAAUCAUCAUGCCCUUUAUGUCCUGGGCUACACACGUGCUACAAUGGUCGGUACAACGAGAAGCAAGUCAGCGAUGGCAAGCAAAUCUCUAAAAGCCGAUCCCAGUUCGGAUUGCAGGCUGCAACUCGCCUGCAUGAAGUCGGAGUUGCUAGUAAUCGCGUAUCAGCAGGUCGCGGUGAAUACGUUCCCGGGUCUU